rnacentral:rRNA from 1 species
CAGUAGCCACGGGAAUACGAAGGGGGCUAGCGUUGUUCGGAUUUACUGGGCGUAAAGCGCACGUAGGCGGAUCGUUAAGUCGGGGGUGAAAUCCUGGAGCUCAACUCCAGAACUGCCUUCGAUACUGGCGAUCUUGAGUCCGGAAGAGGUGAGUGGAACUCCUAGUGUAGAGGUGGAAUUCGUAGAUAUUAGGAAGAACACCAGUGGCGAAGGCGGCUCACUGGUCCGGUACUGACGCUGAGGUGCGAAAGCGUGGGGAGCAAACAGGAUUAGAUACCCCUGUAGUCCCUGUCUCUUAUAC